rnacentral:tRNA from 1 species
GUCUCUGUGGUCUAGUGGUUAAGACACCCGUGUUAAAAUCUGGGGGCCCGGGUUCGAUUCCCGGCGGAGACU